rnacentral:rRNA from 1 species
CCCGCUGAACUUAAGCAUAUCAAUAAGCGGAGGAAAAGAAACUAACAAGGAUUCCCCUAGUAACGGCGAGUGAAGCGGGAAGAGCUCAAGCUUAAAAUCUCCGUGCAAGUUUUGCACGGCGAAUUGUAGUCUAUAGAGGCGUGGUCAGCGUGGGCGCUCGGGGCAAGUUCCUUGGAAGAGGACAGCAUGGAGGGUGAUACUCCCGUUCAUCCCUGAGUUGCUCGUGCGUACGACCCGUUUUCUUUGAGUCGCGUUGUUUGGGAAUGCAGCGCAAAGUAGGUGGUAAAUUCCAUCUAAAGCUAAAUAUUGGUGCGAGACCGAUAGCGAACAAGUACCGUGAGGGAAAGAUGAAAAGAACUUUGAAAAGAGAGUUAAAGAGUACCUGAAACUGCUGAAAGGGAACCGAAUCGUUUCCAGUGUCUAUAAUCCGUGGCAUAUUUCAUUGGCGAGUGUGUGCGUGCGUGUGCUGUGGCAGCGGUCUUUAUGGCUGCGCUCGGUGUGUGUGCUGUGUGUGCUUGCUGGUGCCCUGUGCUGCGGUGGGACGUCAAGGUCAGUUCGUAUGCUGCGGGAAAUGGCUGCCGAGGAGGUAGGGCUUACGCUCCGCGUUUGUCUGUUAUAUCUUGGUGGACGAGUCGUCGCGGUUGGGACUGAGGUGCCUACAACGUGCUUUUGAGUGGGUUUGUGUCUCCGUGUGCGCCGUGUGCGGAUAGCUUGCUAUGCGUGUGUGGUUGUGUGUGGAUUGAUGCGGGCCUUAACUUGUUGCCGUUCGGGACGUUGACGAAAUGGAGCGAUCCGACCCGUCUUGAAACACGGACCAAGGAGUCUAACAUGUGUGCAAGUGUUAGGGUGUGGAAACCCCAGCGCGAAAUGAAAGUGAAGGGCAGCGCAAGUUGUCUGAGGUAGGAAACGUUGUGGGCUUCGGUCUGCGGCGUGGCACUAUCGACCGAUCAUGAACCUUCGUGGUGAAAGAUUUGAGUUUGAGCACAUAUGUUGGUACCCGAAAGAUGGUGAACUAUGCCUGAGUAGGGUGAAGCCAGGGGAAACUCUGGUGGAAGCUCGUAGCGAUUCUGACGUGCAAAUCGAUCGUCAAACUUGGGUAUAGGGGCGAAAGACUAAUCGAACCAUCUAGUAGCUGGUUCCCUCCGAAAUUUCCCUCAGGAUAGCAGCAACUUUUUUACGAUAGUUUUAUGAGGUAAAGCGAAUGAUUAGAGGAUUCGGGGAAGAAACUUCCUCGACCUAUUCUCAAACUUUAAAUCUGUAAGACCUGCAGGUUUCUUAAUUGAACUUGUGGAUGUGAAUAUCAAGUUGCUAGUGGGCCAUACGGGGUAAGCUCGUCUGGCG